rnacentral:rRNA from 1 species
CCCUUAGAUGUUCUGGGCCGCACGCGCGCUACACUGAUGCAUUCAACGAGUUUCUUCCUGGUCCGAGAGGAAUGGGUAACCUUUUGAAAGUGCAUCGUGAUAGGGGUAGACUAUUGCAAUUAUUGGUCUUCAACGAGGAAUUCCUAGUAGACGUAGUUCAUCAGACUGCAUCGAUUACGUCCCUGCCCUUUGUACACACCGCCCGUCGCUCCUACCGAUUGAAUGCUCAGGUGAGCCAUUCGGACUUUCAUCAUGCUGGUUUCCAGUUUUGAUGAAGGAAAGUCUUGCGAACCUUAUCAUUUAGAGGAAGGAGAAGUCGUAACA